rnacentral:rRNA from 1 species
AAUAGAUACCCUGGUAGUCCACGCCGUAAACGAUGGAUGCUAGCUGUGGGGGGUAUCGACCCCCUCCGUAGCGAAGCUAACGCGUUAAGCAUCCCGCCUGUGGAGUACGGCCGCAAGGCUAAAACAUAAAGGAAUUGACGGGGACCCGCACAAGCGGUGGAGCGUGUUCUUUAAUUCGAUGAUAAAUGAAGAACCUUACCAAGGCUUGACAUCCCGUGAAUUACUCCGAAAGGAGUGAGUGCAAUUUGAACUCGGUGACAGAUCUUGCAUGGCCGUCGUCAGCUCGUGUCGUGAGAUGUUUGGUUAAGUCCAUCAACGAGCGCAACCCCUAUGAAUAGUUGGAUUUUUCUAUUCAGACUGCCCCGGUAACGGGAGAAGGGGGGAUGAUGUCAGGUCAGUAUUAGUCUUACGUCUUGGGCUAGAAACGCGCUACAAUGGCCGGUACAAUGGGCAGCUAACCCGCGAGGGGGUGCAAAUCCCAUCAAAGCCGGUCCAGUUCAGAUUGAAGGCUGAAACUCGCCUUCAUGAAGUCGGAAUCGCU